rnacentral:miRNA from 8 species
ACUCAGCCUCGGGGGCACUUUCU